UACGUAGGGUGCAAGCGUUAAUCGGAAUUACUGGGCGUAAAGCGUGCGCAGGCGGCUUUGCAAGACAGAUGUGAAAUCCCCGGGCUUAACCUGGGGACUGCAUUUGUGACUGCAUGGCUGGAGUGCGGCAGAGGGGGAUGGAAUUCCACGUGUAGCAGUGAAAUGCGUAGAUAUGUGGAGGAAUACCGAUGGCGAAGGCAGCCCCCUGGGUCAAGACUGACGCUCAUGCACGAAAGCGUGGGGAGCAAACAGG
rnacentral:rRNA from 1 species